AAGCUGCUCCUAGUACGAGAGGACCGGAGUGGACGAACCUCUGGUGUUCCGGUUGUGUCGCCAGACGCAUUGCCGGGUAGCUACGUUCGGACGGGAUAACCGCUGAAAGCAUCUAAGCGGGAAGCCCCUCCCAAGAAUAGUUCUCCCUGUCCCUUGAGGACUCUGAAGAGCCGUCCAAGACUAGGACGUUGAUAGGCUGGGUGUGGAAGCGCUGUAAAGCGUUGAGCUAACCAGUACUAAUUGCUCGUGAGGCUUGACCAU
rnacentral:rRNA from 1 species